GACGAACGCUGGCGGCGUGCCUAAUACAUGCAAGUAGAACGCACAGUUUAUACCGUAGCUUGCUACACCAUAGACUGUGAGUUGCGAACGGGUGAGUAACGCGUAGGUAACCUGCCUGGUAGCGGGGGAUAACUAUUGGAAACGCUAGCUAAUACCGCAUAAUAUUAAUUAUUGCAUGAUAAUUAAUUGAAAGGUGCAAUUGCACCACUACCAGAUGGACCUGCGUUGUAUUAGCUAGUAGGUGAGGUAACGGCUCACCUAGGCGACGAUACAUAGCCGACCGGAGAGGGUGAGCGGCCACACUGGGACUGAGACACGGCCCAGACUCCUACGGGAGGCAGCAGUAGGGAAUCUUCGGCAAUGGACGAAAGUCUGACCGAGCAACGCCGCGUGAGGGAAGAAGGUUGUCGGGUCGUAAAGCUCUGUUGUAAGAGAAGAACGGGUGUGAGAGUGGAAAGUUCACACUGUGACGGUAUCUUACCAGAAAGGGACGGCUAACUACGUG
rnacentral:rRNA from 1 species